rnacentral:rRNA from 1 species
UAGGGAAUCUUCGGCAAUGGGGGGAACCCUGACCGAGCAACGCCGCGUGAGUGAAGAAGGUUUUCGGAUCGUAAAGCUCUGUUGUUAAGGAAGAACGAGUGUGAGAAUGGAAAGUUCAUGCUGUGACGGUACUUAACCAGAAAGGGACGGCUAACUACGUGCCAGCAGCCGCGGUAAUACGUAGGUCCCGAGCGUUGUCCGGAUUUAUUGGGCAUAAAGCGAGCGCAGGCGGUCAAUUAAGUCUGAUGUGAAAGCCCCCGGCUCAACCGGGGAGGGUCAUUGGAAACUGGUUGACUUGAGUGCAGAAGAGGAGAGUGGAAUUCCAUGUGUAGCGGUGAAAUGCGUAGAUAUAUGGAGGAACACCAGUGGCGAAGGCGACUCUCUGGUCUGUAACUGACGCUGAGGCUCGAAAGCGUGGGUAGCAAACAGG